rnacentral:rRNA from 1 species
AUUCCAACUUCACGCAGUCGAGUUGCAGACUGCGAUCCGGACUACGAUACACUUUCUGGGAUUAGCUCCCCCUCGCGGGUUGGCGGCCCUCUGUAUGUACCAUUGUAUGACGUGUGAAGCCCUACCCAUAAGGGCCAUGAGGACUUGACGUCAUCCCCACCUUCCUCCGGUUUGUCACCGGCAGUCUCAUUAGAGUGCCCUUUCGUAGCAACUAAUGACAAGGGUUGCGCUCGUUGCGGGACUUAACCCAACAUCUCACGACACGAGCUGACGACAGCCAUGCAGCACCUGUGUUCAGGUUCCCUUUCGGGCACUCCCCGAUCUCUCGAGGAUUCCUGACAUGUCAAGGGUAGGUAAGGUUUUUCGCGUUGCAUCGAAUUAAUCCACAUCAUCCACCGCUUGUGCGGGUCCCCGUCAAUUCCUUUGAGUUUUAAUCUUGCGACCGUACUCCCCAGGCGGUCUACUUCACGCGUUAGCUGCGUUACCAAGUCAAUUAAGACCCGACAACUAGUAGACAUCGUUUAGGGCGUG